rnacentral:rRNA from 1 species
ACGGGUGCGUAACGCGUGGGAAUCUGCCCUUGGGUUCGGAAUAACAUCGGGAAACUGAUGCUAAUACCGGAUGAUGACGAAAGUCCAAAGAUUUAUCGCCCAGGGAUGAGCCCGCGUAGGAUUAGCUAGUUGGUGAGGUAAAGGCUCACCAAGGCGACGAUCCUUAGCUGGUCUGAGAGGAUGAUCAGCCACACUGGGACUGAGACACGGCCCAAACUCCUACGGGAGGCAGCAGUAGGGAAUAUUGGACAAUGGGGGCAACCCUGAUCCAGCAAUGCCGCGUGAGUGAUGAAGGCCUUAGGGUUGUAAAGCUCUUUUACCCGGGAUGAUAAUGACAGUACCGGGAGAAUAAGCCCCGGCUAACUCCGUGCCAGCAGCCGCGGUAAUACGGAGGGGGCUAGCGUUGUUCGGAAUUACUGGGCGUAAAGCGCACGUAAGCGGCGAUUUAAGUCAGAGGUGAAAGCCCGGGGCUCAACCCCGGAAUAGCCUUUGAGACUGGAUUGCUUGAAUCUUGGAGAGGCGGGUGGAAUUCCGAGUGUAUAGGUGAAAUUCGUAGA